rnacentral:rRNA from 1 species
CAGUAGCCGCGGUAAUACGAAGGGUGCAAGCGUUAAUCGGAAUUACUGGGCGUAAAGCGCACGUAGGCGGAUAUUUAAGUCAGGGGUGAAAUCCCAGAGCUCAACUCUGGAACUGCCUUUGAUACUGGGUAUCUUGAGUAUGGAAGAGGUUAGUGGAAUUGCGAGUGUAGAGGUGAAAUUCGUAGAUAUUCGCAGGAACACCAGUGGCGAAGGCGGCUAACUGGUCCAUAACUGACGCUGAGGUGCGAAAGCGUGGGGAGCGAACAGGAUUAGAUACCCCGGUAGUCCCUGUCUCUUAUAC